CCUUGAAAAAGGGAGUUCAAGAAGGGCUUCGAAGAAGCUUUCUUGAUGGAGGGGAGUGGCAGACGGGUGAGUAACGCGUGGGAACAUACCCUUAUCUUCGGAACAACUCCGGGAAACUGGAGCUAAUACCGAAUGUGCCCUUCGGGGGAAAGAUUUAUCGGAUAAGGAUUGGCCCGCGUUGGAUUAGCUAGUUGGUGGGGUAAAGGCCUACCAAGGCGACGAACCAUAGCUGGUCUGAGAGGAUGAUCAGCCACAUUGGGACUGAGACACGGCCCAAACUCCUACGGGAGGCAGCAGUGGGGAAUAUUGGACAAUGGGCGCAAGCCUGAUCCAGCCAUGCCGCGUGAGUGAUGAAGGCCUUAGGGUUGUAAAGCUCUUUCACCGGAGAAGAUAAUGACGGUAUCCGGAGAAGAAGCCCCGGCUAACUUCGUGCCAGCCGCCGCCGUAAUAC
rnacentral:rRNA from 1 species